UGCUUUGUUCGGGAUCGAUCCUGUGGCGAAUGGUAUUCAGCGUUUCUCACAUCAAGACAGGGAGAGAGGGGGAAAAACAUUUUGUCAAUACUGUAAUGAUUGAGACAGAGUAGAUGGACAAGAUGCGGGUCUAUAUUAUAGGAAAAACUCGAUGAGAGACGACCAACUAUGGUUUCCAGAUACAAUAUCCAUGCUGAAGAUACAAAUCCUUGAUGCUAUGCCAACAACAGAGAAAGGGAGCCUGAUUUGAGAUGUUCUUCUGUUGUUGAUUGCUCAACAUUGAGAGAUAUUUCAAGGGCUCAGAGAGCUGACUGAGGAGAAGUCUUUUGAAAGAGCAAAGCCCGAUGACCAGGCGAAGGAAAUCAAGGCUCCCUAGUGUGUCGCCUUAGCAACGGGGGAAAAUUAGCAUUGACUUCCGAGCAAGCCUACAAAACUAGGCUUCAGGGGAUUUUUUACAUCUUGAAAGUGACAAUCAAAGAAGAUCUAAAGACAUGCUUCCACUUCCAUUUAUAUUGAAAUCAGUUUCCUUCUUUUUCCGCUGCCAGAACACAAAAAGUCUUAAUGUAUGUAUUUUUGCUCAUUUUACUGUGUUGUGCAGUUUCCCCAUGAUGCCCCCCUUGCUCAUGUUUGCCUCCCGCCGUGGCAAACAAAACAUGUCUGUGAUAGUGAAGUCAUUACAGAGCACUUCCCAAAAUGAACUACAACUGACACUGGCUUCCUCAUU